rnacentral:rRNA from 1 species
GACGAACGCUGGCGGCGUGCUUAACACAUGCAAGUCGAACGGAAAGGCCCUGCUUUUGUGGGGUGCUCGAGUGGCGAACGGGUGAGUAACACGUGAGUAACCUGCCCUUGACUUUGGGAUAACUUCAGGAAACUGGGGCUAAUACCGGAUAGGAGCUCCUGCUGCAUGGUGGGGGUGGGAAAGUUUCGGCGGUUGGGGAUGGACUCGCGGCUUAUCAGCUUGUUGGUGGGGUAGUGGCUUACCAAGGCUUUGACGGGUAGCCGGCCUGAGAGGGUGACCGGCCACAUUGGGACUGAGAUACGGCGCAGACUCCUACGGGGGGCAGCAGUGGGGAAUAUUGCACAAUGGGCGGGAGCGUGAUGCAGCAACGCCGCGUGCGGGAUGACGGCCUUCGGGUUGUAAACCGCUUUCGCCUGUGACGAAGCGUGAGUGACGGUAAUGGGUAAAGAAGCACCGGCUAACUACGUG